rnacentral:pre_miRNA from 1 species
CAUGUACUCCCUCCGUUCCAAAUUACUCAUCGCAGAAAUGGAUGUAUCUAGAACUAAAAUACAUCUAGAUACAUCCAUACUUGCGACAAGUAAUUCAGAACGGAGGGAGUACUUG